ACUGCGAGUGAAGAGGGAAGAGCCCAGCACCGAAGCCUGUGGUCGUUUGGCCAUUGGGCAAUGUGGUGUUUAGGUUGGUUUGUCGGAGUCAUUGCUCUACUCUAAGUCCAGUUAUGAAUACGGCUCUGGACAUGGCCCAUAGAGGGUGAAAGGCCCGUGUGAGUAGAGACCUCGGCGGUGACUUCCGUGGCUAACCUUGGAGUCGGGUUGUUUGAGAAUGCAGCCCAAAGUGGGUGGUAAACUCCAUCCAAGGCUCAAUACUGGCACGAGUCCGAUAGCGAACAAGUACCGUGAGGGAAAGUUGAAAAGUACUCUGAAGAGAGAGUAAACAGUACGUGAAACCGCUCAGAGGUAAACGGGUAGAGUUGAACUGCAAGCCUGGGAGAUUCAGCUGGUGAGCUUGGCUUGAGCUUGGUCAUACCGGCCUGGCUUGGAGGUCUGCUAAUGCAGGUAGUUCGCGUUGCACUUGUCAAGUGUUGCGUACCUUCUUGUCGGGGGCUGGCUCGUCAGUGCACUUCUCUCAGGUGUUCACCACGACCGUCGCUGCUGUCUGUCUGCUGUGGUCGAACCAGCGUAUCAGGACUCUCGUAGUUUUGGUACGCUGGGAUGGCAGGUAGCUUGAUCGCCUUCGGGCUUUUGAGUGUAAUAGCUGUCCAUAGUAGAGCUGUGCAGUGUGGCGGAGACGGCGGCUGUUUGCAGCGUGAGUGCUGGCUCGUUGUCGAGGUUCUGCUUGGUUGUCAAGUUGCUUGGUUCUCCAGGCCUGGCAAUGGUAGAGCUUUGUGCAGCGGGCGGUGUUCAUGUUGUGAUUAAUGGGGCCGAUAGUCUGUGGUGUAGUGGUAAGCUCUCUACCCGACCCGUCUUGAAACACGGACCAAGGAGUUUAACAUGUGCGCGAGUCAUUGGGUAUACGAAACCUACAGGCGCAAUGAAAGUGAAUGUCCGGCUUGUCUGGACUGAGGUGAGAUCCUGUCGUUUCUCUUGCUACCAAGCUUUUGAACGGCGGGCGCAUCACCGGCCCGUCCCAUGGUGUGGUCAUGGCCUCUUGUAGACUGUGCAUCACCGGGGUGGAGCAUGAGCGUACAUGUUGAGACCCGAAAGAUGGUGAACUAUGCUUGUGCAGGUUGAAGCCAGAGGAAACUCUGGUGGAGGACCGCAGCGAUUCUGACGUGCAAAUCGAUCGUCAAACAUGAGCAUA
rnacentral:rRNA from 1 species